UCAUCCGGGGCGUAUAUCUGCUGGGAAAGAAACCUUGCGGACACAUCAUGGACAGCUGAAUAAAAAUAUUAAUUCUAAUAGAAUUACACAGUUGGAAGCUAUUGCGUGCACUAAUAAAGUCCGUCAUGUUGUUGAUGAUAAUCCAUCUGCACCAGCAACAGUUGUUACCGUUGAUGAGACGCUCGGCACCACAAAAACGAAACCAGCAUCCACUAUUAAAGGCAACACAACCAUCCUUAAUGAAGUCAAUGAGACAACUCCCCGCAAGAAGAUCGC